rnacentral:rRNA from 1 species
UAGCUAGUUGGUGGGGUAAGGGCCUACCAAGGCGACGAUCGGUAGCUGGUCUGAGAGGAUGACCAGCCACACUGGAACUGAGACACGGUCCAGACUCCUACGGGAGGCAGCAGUGGGGAAUAUUGGACAAUGGGGGCAACCCUGAUCCAGCAAUGCCGCGUGUGUGAAGAAGGCCUGAGGGUUGUAAAGCACUUUCAGUGGGGAGGAGGGUUGAUAGGUUAAGAGCUGAUUAACUGGACGUUACCCACAGAAGAAGCACCGGCUAACUCCGUGCCAGCAGCCGCGGUAAUACGGAGGGUGCGAGCGUUAAUCGGAAUUACUGGGCGUAAAGGGUGCGUAGGUGGUUGAUUAAGUUAUCUGUGAAAUUCCUGGGCUUAACCUGGGACGGUCAGAUAAUACUGGUUGACUCGAGUAUGGGAGAGGGUAGUGGAAUUUCCGGUGUAGCGGUGAAAUGCGUAGAGAUCGGAAGGAACACCAGUGGUGAAGGCGGCUACCUGGCCUAAUACUGACACUGAGGCACGAAAGCGUGGGGAGCAAACAGGAUUAGAUACCCUGGUAGUCCACGCUGUAAACGAUGUCAACUAGCUGUUGGUUAUAUGAAAAUAAUUAGUGGCGC